AGCGAACGCUGGCGGCAGGCCUAACACAUGCAAGUCGGACGCACCUUCGGGUGAGUGGCGGACGGGUGAGUAACACGUGGGAACGUACCUUUUGGUUCGGAAUAACGCAGGGAAACUUGUGCUAAUACCGAAUGUGCCCUUCGGGGGAAAGAUUUAUCGCCAUUAGAGCGGCCCGCGCUAGAUUAGCUAGUUGGUGAGGU
rnacentral:rRNA from 1 species